rnacentral:piRNA from 1 species
UGACAGGACCAAUAGACAUCAGU